UUGUAUUGCACUUCUUUCUGGACA
rnacentral:piRNA from 1 species